rnacentral:rRNA from 1 species
AACGAACGCUGGCGGCAGGCUUAACACAUGCAAGUCGAACGGGCGUAGCAAUACGUCAGUGGCAGACGGGUGAGUAACACGUGGGAACCUUCCUAGGGGUACGGAACAACUCAGGGAAACUUGAGCUAAUACCGUAUACGUCCGCAAGGAGAAAGAUUCAUCGCCCCUAGACGGGCCCGCGUCGGAUUAGGUAGUUGGUGGGGUAACGGCCUACCAAGCCUACGAUCCGUAGCUGAUCUGAGAGGAUGAUCAGCCACACUGGGACUGAGACACGGCCCAGACUCCUACGGGAGGCAGCAGUGGGGAAUCUUGGACAAUGGGCGGCAAGCCUGAUCCAGCCAUGCCGCGUGAGUGAAGAAGGCCUUAGGGUUGUAAAGCUCUUUUACCAGGGACGAUAAUGACGGUACCUGGAGAAUAAGCCCC